rnacentral:lncRNA from 1 species
GGUGAAUUUAUCAAUUAUAUGAAGAGUAUCUCUUUAUUUGUAUUUUUUUAAUAUAUGCUCUUUUUAUCAAGUUACAAAAUAACAAUUAUAAAAAUAGUUAUAAUUCAUUUUCAAAACAUUAUUCACUAAAAAAAAAUCAGAAUCAGACAACAAGCACUUUUGGAAGACAUUUUUACAUACUAUUUGCAAUAUGUAUCUAUUAAAAAGUCAACAAAUUAUCAUUAAUAUAUUCAUUUCAAGUUUUCAUAUGCACACAAUCACACACAGGAGUGCAACUGAAAUAGAUUUUACAUAAUUAUGCAAAUUCAUAGAUCUAUGUAACAAGUGUCAUAAAUGCUGGAACAUAGUUUUGUAAGAAAAAAUUCCAAAUUAAUUUUGGAUUUAACUAUUUAGACUGGGAAUAUAAAUAAAAUGAAGACAAUUAUAUGACUAUCAAUUUGAAGAAUUUGAUGUCAAAAUACACUGAAAACAUACUGUAUUUUAAUCAUUAUUUGUUUAUGGAAUAUACCAACAAAAAGUUUAAUUAAAACUACAAUUUUUAAGCGCACAAUAACCUUAUCCUUGGCUAAUAUUUUCAAGCAAAUGGUCCAAUGGCAAAUAUUUCAUGUAUAUAAAUUAAUGAGGACAGAACAUUCAUUAAAGAUACAUGGAGUAAAUGUAUGUUAUUUUAAUACUUCAUGUUAACCUUGUAACAAAGAGAUUGUCUUUAUUUCACUUAUUGUCUACAUAUUGGCAUGCUUGGAAAAAAGAAUCAAAGUAAAAAAAAAUCUAAACUAAGCGCCUCACAAUAUGAAAUAAAUA